UACGGGGGGGGCAAGCGUUGUUCGGAAUUACUGGGCGUAAAGGGCUCGUAGGCGGCCAACUAAGUCAGACGUGAAAUCCCUCGGCUUAACCGGGGAACUGCGUCUGAUACUGGAUGGCUUGAGUUUGGGAGAGGGAUGCGGAAUUCCAGGUGUAGCGGUGAAAUGCGUAGAUAUCUGGAGGAACACCGGUGGCGAAGGCGGCAUCCUGGACCGACAUUGACGCUGAAAGCCGAAAGCUAGGGGAGCAAACGGG
rnacentral:rRNA from 1 species